rnacentral:rRNA from 1 species
UACGAAGGGGGCUAGCGUUGCUCGGAAUCACUGGGCGUAAAGCGCGCGUAGGCGGCUUGUUAAGUCAGGGGUGAAAUCCUGGAGCUCAACUCCAGAACUGCCUUUGAUACUGGCAAGCUUGGAGUCCGGGAGAGGUGAGUGGAACUGCGAGUGUAGAGGUGAAAUUCGUAGAUAUUCGCAAGAACACCAGUGGCGAAGGCGGCUCACUGGCCCGGUACUGACGCUGAGGUGCGAAAGCGUGGGGAGCAAACAGG